rnacentral:lncRNA from 1 species
CCAGGGGGUCCAUCAAGCUGCCUCAUGCUACAGAAACAGGAGAUAGGCUCCUGUUCCUAUGAGCCGUUCCAGCUUGCACACUCCAAGGCUCGUGCAAGGCAAAGUAAAGACGGUCACUCACUCCUCGCCAGUGGAACUCAGUGCAUGACCAGAGAGACUCAGCACAAGAGAAACUGAAUGACGUCUCCUGUCUGUCAGAUGGUACCUAUGAAAACGAUGACAGGGACAGGCCUCUAUUCACUCGCUUGCCUUCUCAUGAUAAGUAGUGUCCGUUCUACCUGUGUUCCUUUGGAGUGUCUGAGGUGUGACAUAAUCCCCUCACCUGAAGUGUCUGGGAAUCACAAAGCAGAUGAGGCCAUCUGUGAACACCUGUGCUCUAACACCACCCAAUGUCUCAAUACCACUGAUGUAGAGAAUUGCAUAAAAGAUUUUGAAGUGUUUCUGAACACCAGUUAUGGGUUUGAAGUGGAGGAGGGUGAUGACCUCACAAUGGAGUGUGCCCACGACCUACCGGUGAGAGAUCAUGACCUGCUGGUGUUUGUCUGGCUGAAGGAUGGGCUUCCCCUGAAGGGCGAGAACAAUAGCACGGUCACCUUGGAGAGGAUAGGAAUAGAUACCCCUGCUGAGGGGAAAUACACCUGCACCAUCCAGAGUCCCUGUGGCAACUUCACCUCAGAUCCAGAAGAACUUGAAUUUAAAGACCUGACAGCGGUGAUCAUUGUGAUCUGUGGUGUGUCUGCGGU